AUUCAGCUGAAGGGUCCCGGGCAGGACAAAACUCGCGUCCUGAAU
rnacentral:hammerhead_ribozyme from 1 species